CUUCGUUGACACACGCGGAUUUUUUGGAGUAGCAGUGAAUUUUAAUAAAAUUUAACACGUUUUCUGAUAGUUCGCUGAACCUCAAUCGAUUGAAGAAGAAGAAGAAAAAGGAGGUUCCCUGUAUUAUUCGCCCGAAGCUGUCGGUCGACAUCACACGACAUCACUCGACAUCGUUCGGCAUCACUCGACAUCACGUGUGCGCCACUGCGCAAAGAACAAGGAGCCUAGAGAACACGUCAUUACAAGUUACCAUUUCGUUGACACACGUGGAUUUUUUGGAGCGGCAGUGAAAUUUAAUAAAAUAACACGUUUUCUGAUAGUUGGCUGAACUUCAAUUGAUUGAAGAAGAAGAAGAAAAAGAUUUGAAUGGAAAAAAAAGAAGAAAAAAAAGCCCGGUCAUCCAACGAAGCGAUCUCAGAGGUAUAAAGAAGCAAGAAAGGAAUCAAUUAAGUAUUUUAAAAAACAUAUGAAGG